CAUUGUGAUGAUAAAACGACGAAAACAGCUGAAUUCCUCAUGUUGAAUUCGUUAUAUUAUUUUUUAAGUUUCAGCCUUGUCUGAUC
rfam:Schizosaccharomyces pombe chromosome I, complete replicon